rnacentral:rRNA from 1 species
GACGAACCGAGCGAACGUUGUUCGGAAUCACUGGGCUUAAAGGGCGCGUAGGCGGGUGCUCAAGUCCGGGGUGAAAUCCUCCAGCUCAACUGGAGAACUGCCUCGGAUACUGGGUGUCUCGAGGGUGGUAGGGGUAUGCGGAACUAUCGGUGGAGCGGUGAAAUGCGUUGAUAUCUGGAGGAACACCGGUGGCGAAGGCGGCAUCCUGGACCGGUAUUGACGCUGAGGCGCGAAAGCUAGGGGAGCAAACGGG